UACGGAAGGUCCGGGCGUUAUCCGGAUUUAUUGGGUUUAAAGGGAGCGUAGGCCGGAGAUUAAGCGUGUUGUGAAAUGUAGACGCUCAACGUCUGCACUGCAGCGCGAACUGGUUUCCUUGAGUACGCACAAAGUGGGCGGAAUUCGUGGUGUAGCGGUGAAAUGCUUAGAUAUCACGAAGAACUCCGAUUGCGAAGGCAGCUCACUGGAGCGCAACUGACGCUGAAGCUCGAAAGUGCGGGUAUCGAACAGGAUUAGAUACCCUGGUAGUUGACUGACU
rnacentral:rRNA from 1 species